GAAUUGAACCCAGUGCCUCACACAAAGCUAGGCAAGUAGCGCUACCUCUGAGACACAACUUCAGCCCUAUAAAAUGGUUUCUUAGAGAAGACACAAAAAGAAAAUAGAGAAAUGGAACUUCAUCAAAAUCAAACAACCUUUGUUUUCAAUGAAUGCCAUCAAGAAAAUGAAGAGACAACACCCAAUAUAGGAGGAGGUGGAGUCUCAGGGGACCAGAAGCACUAUUUGAAGUUACAAGUGACUAAUUUUAUGCAAAGGCGAUCACCAUCUGCAAUCCACAAAAAUGUGCUAAAGAAAUGUAGUAGGUAUUUCUCUGAGUGGUUUACCCCUAUUGACCUUCCCAAAUAUUUAACUAAUGCUAUAAUUAACAGGUGGCAGAUCCAAUUAUGCUGUAGUAGAAAAAUAAAGUCACUAUAUAUCACUAUCAA